rnacentral:rRNA from 1 species
UACGAGGGGGGCAAGCGUUUGUUCGGAAUUAUUGGGCGUAAAGGGCGCGUAGGCGGCCAUUCAAGUGACGGGUGAAAGCCCUCGGCUUAACCGAGGAACUGCCUGUCAGACUGGAUGGCUUGAGACCGGGAGAGGUGAGUGGAAUUCCCAGUGUAGCGGUGAAAUGCGCAGAUAUCAGGAAGAACACCCGUGGCUAAGGCGGCUCUCUGGGACGGUACUGACGCUGAGACGCGAAAGCGUGGGGAGCGAACAGG